rnacentral:rRNA from 1 species
UACGAACCGUCCAAACGUUAUUCGGAUUUAUUGGGCUUAAAGGGUAUGUAGGCGGCCCUUCAAGUCGGGUGUGAAAGCCCUCGGCUCAACCGAGGAACUGCGCCCGAUACUGUGGGGCUUGAGGGAGACAGAGGUAAGCGGAACUGAUGGUGGAGCGGUGAAAUGCGUUGAUAUCAGAAGGAACGCCGGUGGCGAAAGCGACGUACUGGACCUCUUCUGACGCUGAGGCGCGAAAGCUAGGGGAGCAAACGGG